AAGUCGUAACAAGGUAACCGUAGGUGAACCUGCGGUUGGAUCAUUAAUGUAAUUGAAAUAGACUUUGGUCUAUUCUCAACAAUGGAUGGAUAACUCUUUUACAGAGUUGGAAAUCCUUUACACCUAUUGUGAACUGUUUAUUGUACUUGUCAUUGGUAUGAAUGACUUUAUUGUCUUUAUGCCCUUGACUUUUUUUAAACAUUGUUUAUUUUCUUUAUUGGUUUUUCUUUAUAAUGAAAUAUUAUAAUUGAAACAACUUUUGACAACGGAUCUCUUGGCUCUC
rnacentral:misc_RNA from 1 species